rnacentral:lncRNA from 1 species
AGCGACAGCGCUCAGUACAGUGACAAGGCUGGGAGACAGACUCUGGACAUUUAUGGAGCAGCUGGCAUCCGUUGCUCCUCUGGAUUUUUUUUUUUUUUUCAAGAAAAAACAAGCUGAAAGCACAAUUUCUCCACUCCAGGUACGGCUUUGAUCGGAAAGGUGAACCUGAAGCCCUCAGGGUAUUUCGAACUUAAUAAAUCUGGCUACCACGGG